rnacentral:rRNA from 2 species
UAGGGAAUCUUCGGCAAUGGACGAAAGUCUGACCGAGCAACGCCGCGUGAGUGAAGAAGGUUUUCGGAUCGUAAAACUCUGUUGUUAGAGAAGAACAAGGACGUUAGUAACUGAACGUCCCCUGACGGUAUCUAACCAGAAAGCCACGGCUAACUACGUGCCGGCAGCCGCGGUAAUACGUAGGUGGCAAGCGUUGUCCGGAUUUAUUGGGCGUAAAGCGAGCGCAGGCGGUUUCUUAAGUCUGAUGUGAAAGCCCCCGGCUCAACCGGGGAGGGUCAUUGGAAACUGGGAGACUUGAGUGCAGAAGAGGAGAGUGGAAUUCCAUGUGUAGCGGUGAAAUGCGUAGAUAUAUGGAGGAACACCAGUGGCGAAGGCGGCUCUCUGGUCUGUAACUGACGCUGAGGCUCGAAAGCGUGGGGAGCAAACAGG